rnacentral:rRNA from 1 species
GUGGGGAAUUUUGGACAAUGGGCGAAAGCCUGAUCCAGCAAUGCCGCGUGUGUGAAGAAGGCCUUCGGGUUGUAAAGCACUUUUGUCCGGAAAGAAAUCCUUUGGGUUAAUACCUCGGAGGGAUGACGGUACCGGAAGAAUAAGGACCGGCUAACUACGUGCCAGCAGCCGCGGUAAUACGUAGGGUCCGAGCGUUAAUCGGAAUUACUGGGCGUAAAGCGUGCGCAGGCGGUUUUGUAAGACAGAUGUGAAAUCCCCGGGCUUAACCUGGGAAUUGCAUUUGUGACUGCAAGGCUAGAGUGUGUCAGAGGGGGGUAGAAUUCCACGUGUAGCAGUGAAAUGCGUAGAGAUGUGGAGGAAUACCGAUGGCGAAGGCAGCCCCCUGGGAUAACACUGACGCUCAUGCACGAAAGCGUGGGGAGCAAACAGGAUUAGAUACCCUUGUAGUCC